rnacentral:lncRNA from 1 species
CAUUUGAUGACUUCUCCUUGCAUUGCUUUUGCUACCACCGACAUGCAAAACUCUAAGUUUCUUUCUAUUUUUUACAUUUUGUGCACUUUAUUUCUGUAAUUCUCAAACAUAAAUUUAAUUACAUGUAAUAGAAGGGCACAAUUUCACAAGAUGUAGGACACAAGUUCUUAAAGCUAUAUAAAUCGCUUUAACACAGCCAACACCAACAAUAUUAC